UACGUAGGGGGCAAGCGUUGUCCGGAAUUAUUGGGCGUAAAGAGCGUGUAGGCGGUCCGGUAAGUCAGCUGUGAAAGUCAAGGGCUCAACCCUUGAAUGCCGGUGGAUACUGUCGGACUAGAGUACGGAAGAGGCGAGUGGAAUUCCUGGUGUAGCGGUGAAAUGCGCAGAUAUCAGGAGGAACACCGAUUGCGAAGGCAGCUCGCUGGGACGUUACUGACGCUGAGACGCGAAAGCAUGGGGAGCGAACAGG
rnacentral:rRNA from 1 species